rnacentral:lncRNA from 1 species
CUUUUUUCUUCUUUUAGUUCGAAUACUUUUGUCCAUCAGAAGAUCAUUGAGCGAUUAUUGAAGAUUUCUAGUUGCAAAUGUUUGGUAUUAUUAAUAAUUCAAGAUUUUCAAAUGUAUUUUUUUAUUUGUGAUUUUGGAUUCUUGGAAUUGAUUGAAAUUGUGUUUUCGCAGCUGAAGCUGUAGAAAGUGGGAGGUCUCAUCUAUAGUAUUUUGGGAUUGGAUGUACUAUAGAAUUCUCUAAUUUGUGCGUAAGUAUGUUUUGAUUUUUUUGUUCUUUUUAGUUAAUCGUCAAUUUCUUAAGUUUCAUUUGAUUACCGGGCAUCGUAUUAAUUUUGUUAGAAGACACCUUCAAGAUGAUGGUGAGUUAGCUUCUGAGAUAAUUUUGUAAAACUAUUUAUUGAAAUUAAUUUUUGUAAGACUAUAUUAAUUUUGACACCUGCAAUUUUGUAUUCAAAGGAGGAAAACUUGGGAAUAUUGAUUAUUAGACAGGAGACAGGUAGACACUGGAGUUUCUCCUGGUUUUGGAUGGAGGAGAUUCGUUUGGGGAUGACGGAGGAGAUUCGAAGUAAUUAGUCCAAUACCAGGUUUGUGCUCUUCCCUCCUUUCAUUUUAAAUUUUAAAAUCUCUUUUUUUGUGUGUAUAUUUCAUUUUUUAUUUGUGUUUUAGGAAAGCAAAAUUUGGUGCAUUUUUUUAAGUUAUUUGAUUAGAUGGAUAGUCUUAUGAAAAAAAGAAGAAGAAUUUAUAAUAUUGUUUAUGUGCAAUGAAUUUAGAAGAUGUACAAAAAAAAAAAAAAAAAAAAAAAAAAAAUAAUACAAACAUUUUUAAAAAAAAAUUUUGGAGCCCAUGGAGCUAGGAAUUUAGAAUUCAGAAGACGUACCAAAAAAAAAAAAAUAAUAAUAAAAACAUUUUUAAAACAAAAGAAAAAAAUUUUGGAGCUAAAGCUCCGUGCGCGCACGGAGUAAUUUUUUUUUUUCAUUUUUUUUCCUCUAAAUAAUAAAAUGGAAAAUCUUGUUUCAUUUCUCAGUUUUCUCCUCCGUCUCUGCUAGACUCAACGCCGCCUUCUUUACCUCCAACUCAAACCGGAACUGCGACCCCUCGUUUCCUUAAUGAACUCCUAUCCCAGCUCAAGGUACAACUCUAAUGACUAAAAAGCUCUAAUUUUUCUAAGAAAUCUUGUGAUUUAAUGAAAGAAAAACUCAUUUGUUAUUGGAUUUUGGUUUUGAUUGACUUGAUUGAAAUGUCUUAUGCAGUUGUGAUGAUAUUAGCUUUUAAUUUUAUACAUGGGUUUGUUCUGUAGAGAUAUUCAUGGUGUUAGAUCUAUAUCUUUUGCUUUAAUUCGUAGUUGUUUCAAAGAGAAAUCGUAUUCUCCAUCUUUCAAAUUUGUCUUGCUUCAGAAAUUUUUGAUUCUUGAAAUUAAUGAUGAUAAGGUUGACAUGAAUAAUAUGUCAUCACCCGUCCCUUUUUUGGGAUCUAGAGGGUUGAAUUCUCAAAAUGCGAAGAAGAGACUAUGAACAUUUUAACUGAGCUCUUCAGGUUGUAGGUUCCUCUCGCAUUUUUAAAGCUUCUGAAGGAUUAAAUGUUGAACAUCUGUUGAUAGGCAUGGAAGUAGAUGUAAAGUUUCUCUUACUCCAUACUAUUUUUGAGAAUGUUAUGGGAAACACUCCUAGAAUUCCUAACCUAGCAAAUAUUUCACCACAAAUUCGCAGAUUAAGUUCUAUAUGCUAGAAGUAAAUCUAAAGAGUAGUUCUAUAUGCCAGUUAUUGACCUAAUGUUCAAAACUUGACCAUUAAGAAUCACAUUUCCAUACUCAUUCAACCUGUAUCAAAAUCAACGAUUUUAGAAACAAAUCAUACGUGUUGUUUAGGAUCUUCAAAACGGAUGCCUUUAGUCACAUCAUAAACCUUUUCUCAAGCCCUCAAUAGAUGUGUAUAUAUUAGUAGAGUUGUCCAUGGUUAUUAUUAUAAGUCAAUCAGAGUUGCAAGUUUCAAAUAAAUAUACAUAUAUUUUAAGUGGUUUACAUACUAUUAACCUCUACUUGCAAUUGAUUCAUAUUGUUCUUUCUGUCUAAUUCUAACACUGGAAUGUUAUUUUUUUAUUGCUCUUUAACAUGUAUGCUUUUGGAGAUUCAGUCAAUGAUUGAGCCAAGUCCAGCUCAAAAUGAUGCGAUAGGAGAUGGAACAACAUCCAUUCUUCGUAAUGGUUGAGCUUAUUUUUAUUCACUUCACAUGGUCCACGUGUGAUGUAUGUAGGAGAUCUGCUAAUUUAGUUGAAUGCUCCUCAAUUUUGAUGCCUUCUGCUAAUUGCCAUGCGAUUUAUGCAACGUGAUUUUACACUACAAGUGUGCGGUGUAAAGUUUUGUAAUAUAUUUUUAAAGUAAGAGUGUCAAACCCAUGGGGAUUGAUAUUUGAAUCCUAUCGAGUA